rnacentral:rRNA from 1 species
UUUUCCGCAAUGGGCGAAANCCUGACGGAGCAAUACCGCGUGAGGGAGGACGGCCUAUGGGUUGUAAACCUCUUUUUUCAGGGAGGAAUAAAUGACGUGUACCUGAAGAAUAAGCAUCGGCUAACUCCGUGCCAGCAGCCGCGGUAAGACGGAGGAUGCAAGUGUUAUCCGGAAUCACUGGGCGUAAAGCGUCUGUAGGUGGUUUAAUAAGUCAACUGUUAAAUCUUGAGGCUCAACCUCAAAAUCGCAGUCGAAACUAUUAGACUAGAGUAUAGUAGGGGUAAAGGGAAUUUCCAGUGGAGCGGUGAAAUGCGUAGAGAUUGGAAAGAACACCAAUGGCGAAGGCACUUUACUGGGCUAUUACUAACACUCAGAGACGAAAGCUAGGGUAGCAAAUGGGAUUAGAUACCCCAGUAGUCCUAGCCNUAAACAAUGGAUACUAGAUGUGAACAGAUCGACCUGUGCAGUNUCAAAGCUAACGCGUUAAAGUAUCCCGCCC